UCGGGAAUCUUCCGCAAUGGGCGAAAGCCUGACGGAGCGACGCCGCGUGAGUGAUGAAGGCCUUCGGGUUGUAAAGCUCUGUGGGGAGAGAAGAAUAAGUGCAGGCGAAUAUCCUGCAUGAUGACGGUAUCUCCUUAGCAAGCACCGGCUAACUCUGUGCCAGCAGCCGCGGUAAGACAGAGGGUGCAAACGUUGUUCGGAUUUACUGGGCGUAAAGCGCGUGUAGGCGGCUUGGCAAGUUGGAUGUGAAAUCCCACGGCUCAACCGUGGACGUGCAUCCAAAACUGCUUCGCUAGAGUCUCGGAGAGGAAGGUGGAAUGCUUGGUGUAGAGGUGAAAUUCGUAGAUAUCAAGCAGAACACCUGCGGCGAAGGCGGCCUUCUGGACGAUGACUGACGCUGAGACGCGAAAGCGUGGGGAGCAAACA
rnacentral:rRNA from 1 species